rnacentral:rRNA from 1 species
UAUUCCUACGGGGGGCAGCAGUGGGGAAUAUUGCACAAUGGGGGAAACCCUGAUGCAGCAACGCCGCGUGAGUGAUGACGGCCUUCGGGUUGUAAAAUUCUGUCCUAUGGGAAGAAACAAAUGACGGUACCAUAGGAGGAAGCCCCGGCUAACUACGUGCCAGCAGCCGCGGUAAUACGUAGGGGGCGAGCGUUGUCCGGAAUUACUGGGCGUAAAGAGAGCGUAGGCGGCACUACAAGUCUCAUGUGAAAUACCCGGGCUUAACUUGGGGGUUGCAUGGGAAACUGUAGAGCUUGAGUACAGGA